rnacentral:misc_RNA from 1 species
GUAUAAGGUUUUAAAGGCAAUUAAAGCCCUAAUAACAUUCUUAAACAUACUUGGGGGUAUAUAUAAACAUAGACCAAGAAAUGUAAGGAAAGCCGGCUUUCGCACAGCAGUCCCCAAACCGAGUUUCCUCGAGAGGUAUCCAGGUCUACAGAAGGUGCACAGGUGGUAAAAAGUUUGGUGUUAGGCGUGCACAUGCUCCUGAGAGCCAGCAACAACCCAACCAAGCUUUAUUCAAUAAUGAUCCUUCCGCAGGUUCACCUACGGAAA